rnacentral:lncRNA from 7 species
AUACAUUAUAAUAAGGUAUCAGCUAAGCGCAUUAACAGAUAUAAUCAAUUCUCUCACCUAUGCUACAGGUGCGAGAACAAUUCAAGUUUUUUUAUCAGACAAAUAAUCGUCAAUGCAUUAUCUAAAAAUUGUGAUAGCUAAUACAUUGUACGUUCAAUCCUAGAGUAACAUCCUUUCUACAUAAAUAGAACUUGUCUUAAGGCUUACUCCUAAAUGGUUUUGAACGCCAAAUAGCGGAGGGAGGAGUUCUGUACGUGUCCAGCAAGACACUCUAAAGCAUACGCUAAAUUUUAGCGGCGACCUAAGAGACGCUAAAUGUAGCGGGCUUCUUUAGAUCGCUAUCGCCACCAGCGAGGCAUCGACGGUUCACUCCCGCGCCGGCUCGGAAGCUUUACCGCGGACCAAUGUGCAACAUCCUCAACCUCCGGAGGCCCCUCUCCCCGUUGCGAUGGAGGCUGGGAUGACCAUGGCAUCCGGUGGGUGUAGCUGUGAGGAGGCGGUGGGAGCGAUGGCGUCGGAGACGUACCUAGAUUCACUCUAGAUCUUGCAAAGUGUCAGCUGACGUGAUUACUAGCGCCAACCCUCGCCAAGCCGGUGGAAACCUCGUGCUCUCCGCCGCAUCUGUCUUCGCCUCGAGCCCUCCGUCCACCUCUUAGUGAGCACCGCAGACCCAUCUCUUUCUCGAAACGGCGCCUGGGAAGAUGGUGUCGGGCUGGCGGCUGAUGGAGCUGGAGAGGAAGCAAUGGGAGGGCUGGUCAAGACGCUGCAUAUGAUGCGCGAGCAGCCCAACUGCUGGCCAGUCGCAGGCUCGCGUGCACUAGUGAUUCAGUUCCACUUGACUAGAGCAAGUGUGUAGACGGGUGAAUCAAGUGUCGGUUAUUUUUUAAUCUUUUCGGUGCAUGCGUGCAAAGAUAGUUUCCAAUUUUCUUAAUCUAAACUUAUUCAAGGAGAGACCCGGCGUUCUAUGCUGA